GGGCAAGGAGAUCACUAAAAUAAAGUUACUUUGAGAAAUGAGGAAGCUAAGCUUGUGAAUAGGCUCCACAUGAGGACUGAGGUGUUUGCAAUUGGAGUGGGAAGAAAGAGAGGGAGCCCAGAACCCGAGAGUGUGGCUGCAAGUCUCCCAGGAACAGUGCUUAAGCAUGGGAAUGUGAUCAAACAGAGCUGUGACCUUGGCCCUCAACACAGGGAUCCACUGUGGUCCAGACCAGCAAGGGCUAUCCAAACCACACAAGGCCAGUCUUCAACAGCCCCACCAUGAAGCAGCAGAUAAAUAGGAAACAUAGUUCAAUGCAUUCUGCUUGCUGUGUGAAAAAACAGGAUGCACGCCACUGGACUAAGCUUCAAAAGGUACAGAGAGAGGACUACCCUCCCAACUCAUUGCACCCACCCCGCCCAGGAUCUGUGCUGACCAUCAGGUCUGCGUUCAGAGGCAGCCAAGCAACAGGUGGGAGUCUCAGAUGCAAAGUACAUAAGCAUUGCUUUCAACUGACUGUUGCCUGCUCUUGUUCUUACAAAUGAAAGAAUAACCAGGAGGGAAAUCAAGACACUGAAUUUACAAAUGGACAAUGGCCAGACCAUAUAUGACGACAGAACUCUGACCCACAAACUCUACAGGAACUACCCAGAACAAUAACUUGGGGAGCUAUUAGAAGAUACUCCAUGAGAAAGGUGUUUUGUGGUUGAAAGAAGUUGAGAAACAAAGCAACAUAUUCUAAUGCUGGGAGCCUGGAAAAUAAAAGGAAGCAAGAGAGAGAAAAAUGCACUCAAAAUUGUCUGCCUUUGGGGACUCAACUGGAGAAAGAAGAUCUGGUAUGCAUCAAGGAUAAAAUAUUGUAAGAAAAAAGUUAUCUAGAAAUCUCAACACUAAAGUAUCAAAAAUGCCAAAUUUAUCUUAAAUAGACUUUUUUCCUAAUGAUCUUUCAUAUUUCAAAUCAUGCAAAUAGAACAAUCAACGGAUGACUGGCCCUGGUAUCUAUGGUGAUGACAGCAUCUACAGAGCAAUGGACAACCAACCAAUUAAAAACAUCACACGAGCUGAAUUCUCACAUGAGAGGCAGUGAGAUGCAGAGCAUACUGUGUGGGGCAGUCAUUAUUUUUUCACCUGUUGGGAAUCAUCACUUUCUCAUAACACACCCCAUCACCCCAGCUCCUGGGAAGGACCCAGGUGCAGCCAUCACAGCAUCUAACACCCAGGUUAGAGUGACUGCUUCAGUCACAGUAAAGUGACUACUCUCAAGAGGUAACCUGAGAAAUUAGGUUUACGAUUUAGUUCAGGAAUAUUCAUUGAACCACUGAGAAAGAGUAGCUACUGGUAAAAUUUUUGUUCUAUUUGCCACAAAUAGAAUAAAAGCUGAAUCUGCUUACAGUAAUCUUGCCUGAGAACAAAGGUAAAUGAUGUGUAAGAAAUCUCUGCAAAUCAUUUAGUUCAUGAUUUUGCAGGAUGCCAAUAUGAGCAUAGCACACGUGAAUGGUUUUCCUGAUCUUGUCUGGACUCACUUCAUACAUCUGUGGGCAGCCCCCUAGAUUAGCUGGGCCUGGCUGGUCUAGGAUGGCUUGUCUGACUUCCAUGGAAUCUCUUCUUAUCCAGCAGACAAGUCCAGGCUUAUUCACACAGCAGAAGCAUGGUUCCAAAAAAGUGAGUGGAAGCGUGCAAGGCCUCUUGAGGCCCAGGCUCAGAACUGUCAUGGUGUCAGUUUCUCCACAUUCUGUUAGUUGAAACAGGUCACAAAGCCAGCCCUGAUUUAAAGGGGUAGGGAAAUAGACCCCAUCUCCAUAUGGGAGGAGCUGCAAAGUCACAUUGCAUGGAGGUCUAGAUAUAGGAAAGGAAAUAAUUUUGGUCAUUUUUUAAUAAAUAAUCUACCAUAGUCCAUUUUCUGGCUACAAUUAUUCAUGUCCCUCCUACAUGCAAAAUACACUUACUUCUUCCUGAGACUUCCGUUUAUCUGGAUCAGAGUCCAGGACUUUUGGACCUGCAUUCUGCCAUACGAGGUUUCCCACGAUUAGAGACCUAUGAACUAAAAAAACAAGUUAUGUGCCCUCAAUGUACCCAACAAACAAGUGUGAGACUGGGACAGGAUAGCCACAAGAGACUUCCCCAUUCAAAAUAUGCUGUCAAUGGAAAUUCAUGCUAUGAAAAAACCUUGCACAUUUUACAGAGCACAGGAAUUCAUCACAGAGCAAAAGAUGCUGCAGAAGUGCAGGCUGAACAGAAAAGUUGCAGCAGGAGGCUGUGGAUGGCACUAAGGCAUUUUUAAAGUAGCUCUCAUGUUUCUAGUUUCUGCAGAUGCUGACAUAACAAAUUCUGAUUCUAAGUUACUUGGCCAGAUUCCUUUCUACAUGUCAACAAGGAUUUUCUGGUAAAUAAAACAUUCAUGCAUUUUUUUAUUAGCACUUGAUGCUUUUUUUUGAAGUUGUUGCCAUUUUAAAGUGAUAAGUAUAUACCCCAAAUCCUGAUAUUCUGUAUAAUAUUUGAUGAGUGAAAGGUUUAUUUUGUGUUUUAUCAUUAAACCUUUAGAGUUUUCCAUAAUAUGUUUUUCUUUUCUGUUUUCCG
rnacentral:lncRNA from 1 species